rnacentral:lncRNA from 1 species
AUGUUCACCUGGAAUGUACAAGAACGUAGUUGGUGGCCUUCUUGCAGCCACUGGUCAAGGUGUGCCAAAUAUUGGACUGUGAUACGUUUUUCUUUCGUCAAUGAGUUGGUGAUGAAUACUGCGCCUUCAGCAGGAAGUAAUGGAGGUCCACCGAUGGCCCCACAGUGCCCUCUUCCGGCCAUCUGCCAGCAGAUAGACUCGCAGGCCUUCUAUCAAUGGUUCUUCGCCAGGCAACAUGCUUGGGGAUAAAAUCUUUGGCUGAAAUUCAGAAAUUCAAAAGUUUUUAAAACGAGCACAGCAAACAAUGAUUUAAAAGAAGUUAUUAUUAUAUUCCUGAAAAAGUCAAUUCAACGAAUUAAAUUCCAAGACAUGCAGAUGGUCUUGACUUGCAAAUAGUUUGAGGUAAGUUUUUAUUUUCUUUUCUUAUCUUAUGAUUCCAUCACUAAUUAUUGGUUGAACAGCGCUCAGCGAGAAAAGAGCAAAAUAUAUGGACUUGGAACAUAGAAACAUGAGUUCAAAGUUUCAACCCUUCCUAUAAUUUAAUGUAAAAACCGAACUUCCGAGUAAAUUUUCAUAUUCUAUAAAUAAUCUAUUUUGCUGACUUGUUUACACCAGGAGAAAACAUAUUUUUGAAUGACCACAAAAUGAUCUUAACUUUAUUUUUUUGAAAAAGUCAUUUGAUUUCCUACUGCUGAGAACUGUAGAAUUCAAUAUGUUGAUAUUAUUACAAAACACAGCAUGAGAUCGAUGAAAUCCACAUUUGGAAUGGAUACGUCCAGAAUCUUUUGUAAAAAGGAGCUGUUGGAGCUUACUUUUUGGAUGGGUGGGAGGCGCUUGGACUCUCUCUGGACUGCUUCGAGGGUCUCAAUGUGCAUAUGGACCACUCCAGGAAUCAUUUGGUGAAGACUCCGAAUAUGAUUGGCGCUUACGCCUCCUCAGUGCACACCUUGUCAACAAAGCGAGAGACGAGCCGAAUUACUGCUGUGCCUGUCUCCCCUGGGUCUUGGUCCUCAAAACCAGACUCUGCGUCUCCGCUAUCACUUUCUGCUACACUAGACCUGCAACAAUUUUAUUGAAAUAUUAAAAUUAAAAUUUGAGAUGUGACUUCCCUAAUUGCUGACUUUUCUUGACAGCUCAAGUAAGUUUC